AAAUGGUAAGCUGGUUGUAUUUCCUUCUCAGAAUCUGAUCCAAGCUGAUAUUAAACCAUUAAGCAGACAUCGAGAUUUAAUUAAAUAAUGAAAUUAACCAUCUUAUGAAAACCCUACCUCUAGAAAUUGCUUCAUUUCAUUAGCUUUGCUCUUUGCAGCUGCCCCUUCUCUCCUCUCCUCUCCUCUAUCAAUCUGUACAAAAUGGUAAACAAUGGCAGUUUUUUGAAUAACACGGAUUGGCCUCUUAGCAACAAUUGGGGUUUUGAUGUGGGAACUACGAUUGGAUCUUCAACAGCUUGAGAGGGACGUCUGAAGUACAGAGUGAUGAACGAACUUCCAUUGAUACCCGGUGAACUGUGGAAUGAAGCAAGAUCGUUUCCCGGUUUCUUUUUUUGCUUCCGUCGGUCAGAUAGUUCGUCUCCUUUGUACUUUAGAUGUCUCUCUCAUGCUGUUUGAAGUUGUUUGUAGGCCUACUAAUCUCCAAGAACAAGUUCAAUGACUUCAUUUUUUAACAGAAGCUGAGUCGAAGUGGAGAUUGUUCGAAAAACAAUAGAAGUUUGAUCUACCGUGGCAGAGAUAUUCGAUGUUCAGAUCUAAAUCUUAAUUACCUAGUUUGAUUUCAUUAUAUGUAUCUUCAUUUAACUUUCUAAUUGACUUAAUUUUUCAGGAGUUGAAAAAAAAGAAGCAAGAGAGCUAUGCUACCUUCAUUAAUAAUAUGUGAUCUGGAAAAUCAACCUUACUUGAUUAAUUUGUGGUGCAUCUGUAUCUCUGUUGCAUCUCUAUUUUCUGCAAUAUCAAGGGUUCUUAAUUUUCCAAGUGAUCAGUCUGGGGUUGCCUUUCUGCACGGUUCUUCAUUUCGAUCGUUUAUUCGUAUUCUCUUACAUUUCAAGGGUUGGCAACUAGACUCUGAAAAAAUGAGGUAUCGGUAUAAUUUCUCUACUACAAUAUCUAUCACUUUGAACUUACAACACUUGCGUAUUUUUUGUUGUUUUAGCUCUCUGCAUCCUUUCCUUGGAUUGUUCAGAAGAAUCUGCUACUAAUGAGCCUAUUACCCCUGAUUAGGAUCAAGGAGAUUUGCCCUUAACAAUUGAAGAAUGAAAAGGCUAAUUUUGAUAAUUUGCCUAAACAACUUUAUGGAAAGGCACAAUGCCAAAGUGGAUGUUUCAGAUUUCAAAGGCUUUCAAAUGCAUUGAAAAACACUCAACUGGGGGAAUCUCCGGAGUACAUGGAACCUAUUGCUGUCAGAAUAAGAAAAGGUUGUGGUAAAGCUACUGAUUUUUCACACAACAGUAUCCAAGUUCUGGUCCAUCCUAGAGAUGGAAAGUGUGCCAAUCUGGACUGCAUUCGACAGGGAUUAUGUCAAAUGAGACCAAGAAACAGAGGAUUCUGAAGCCAGAUGUGGCUAAGCUCAAGGUUUUGAUCAAAGGUGUAAUACGCUUGCAGAGUUGCAGCAAAAUCUUCGGUAAAUCACCAUUAGAGAUGGCUUCUUCACUUUCGGAACUUUAUUGAUUGGUUUUCAUUGUUGUCACUUAUCUUCUGUUGCCUUUUAGAACACUCAACUUUGAAGGAUUGUCGAUAUCUUCAUUUUCCUCCAUUUAACUCUUUUUGGGUUUGUGUUUUGUGAAUUUCGUUGUUAAUUUUCUUGAUAAAAGUAAGAAGUCAAAAGAAGGAAA